rnacentral:rRNA from 1 species
UUUCCUACGGGAGGCAGCAGUCGGGAAUAUUGCGCAAUGGAGGAAACUCUGACGCAGUGACGCCGCGUGCAGGAAGAAGGUCUUCGGAUUGUAAACUGCUUUAGAUAGGGAAGAAAAAAAUGACAGUACCUAUAGAAUAAGCUCCGGCUAACUACGUGCCAGCAGCCGCGGUAAUACGUAGGGGGCAAGCGUUAUCCGGAAUUACUGGGUGUAAAGGGAGCGUAGACGGCUGUGCAAGUCUGGAGUGAAAGGCGGGGGCCCAACCCCCGGACUGCUCUGGAAACUGUAUGGCUGGAGUGCAGGAG